UGAAUAAAAGUCGGAACAAGUUUGUGGCCCUUUAUGUAUCAUCCGAUCAGAGGAGGAUCAUUA
rnacentral:rRNA from 1 species